CUCCAGUUGGAUGCAUGUCCUUCUGGGAAAGAUUCAUCGGUAUGGGAUGGGGUCGCGUCCUAUCAGCUUGAUGGCGAGGUAACGGCCCACCAUGGCUUCGACGGGUAGCCGGCCUGAGAGGGCGACCGGCCACAUUGGGACUGAGAUACGGCCCAGACUCCUACGGGAGGCAGCAGUGGGGAAUAUUGCACAAUGGGCGCAAGCCUGAUGCAGCGACGCCGCGUGCGGGAUGACGGCCUUCGGGUUGUAAACCGCUUUUGACUGGGAGCAAGCCCUUCGGGGUGAGUGUACCUUUCGAAUAAGCACCGGCUAACUACGUGCCAGCAGCCGCGGUAAUACGUAGGGUGCAAGCGUUAUCCGGAAUUAUUGGGCGUAAAGGGCUCGUAGGCGGUUCGUCGCGUCCGGUGUGAAAGUCCACCGCUUAACGGUGGAUCCGCGCCGGGUACGGGCGG
rnacentral:rRNA from 1 species